UUUGCUUGGUUUUUGAGCACAGGGAUGCGAUCCUAUGAAUCAGAGGUCAGUCUUUUGUGUCUUGGAUGCAUCACUCUUUGAUCCCUUUCUUGAUUUUUCAGUUAUAUUUUUAAUUACUAGACCUUCUCAUAAAUUAUUAUACCUUCACAAAAGAGAGUUUUCUGUUUUUAUGUUUGUGUUAUUGGAUAAGAUCGCCUAUUACAAUAGGAGACUUUUCGAUAAUCUGAGUGGUAAAGCAGAAAAAAGUGCUGGAU
rnacentral:lncRNA from 1 species